AGGGAACAGAAGAAGAAGAAGAAGAAGCCGUAUUUCCGGUCUCAUGUCAGCCUUCUGCUGAGACCGCAUGGCUAGUGCCAGUGACACUUGCCGCAUUUAAAUGUGUUUUUAUCCCGUCUGGAGGUUUUAGUGAAACAAGAGAUGGCAGAAGUUGUGCAAGAGAAAAGUCGUGGCUUGAAGUUUGCAGAGCAGCAGCUCCUGCGUCAUGGCUGGGAACACGGUAAAGGACUGGGCGAGCUGAGAACGGCAUAUCAGAAGCUAUCAAGGUCAAAGUGAAAUGUGACAAAGGAGGGGUCGGUCACAAGGAAGGGGAGCAGUUCACCUUCCACUGGUGGGAUCAUGUCUUCAAUAAGGCCUCUUCCAGUCUGCAGGUGGAAUCUGAUCAGAACGGCAUUCAGUUGAAGAAGACCGUGGAGGAAGAUGAAGAGAAUGGAAU